AUUCUUAUUCCAUCCCUUUAGAUUUGUGUGUAGUAGGUAGCUGUUGGGGAAUUGUUAGAUUUAUUAGAUAUUACUAGAUAUUAAUAGUACUUAGACAUUAGAUAUUACUGCACUGUCGGAACUAGAAGCACAAGCAUUUCGCUACACUCGCAUGAACAUCUGCUAACCAUGUGUAUGUGACCAAUACAAUUUGAUUUGAUUUGAUUUGAGGCACCAAAGUCAUGGCCAACUCGUUCACAUUUGGCCAGGAGGCUAAGCUGGAGACGAUGACUAGAGAGAAGAACAAGCCUACGGUGAAUCUGGUUGGGAACACACUAAACGUCUCACUGAAGGGCAUUGAGUCAGUCGCGGAACAUCAUCGUUACCAUGACGCUUCGCCCCAUCGUCUGCAAGAGGAUAAGUAAGCUCAUGUAGUGAUCUCUCAACCCUUUUUGAAUAAACCAGGAAAAUGUAUUGACUUCUAUGGUUUGUCUAUAAAGAGUUGAUCCUUAGCUUUGAUUGGUUGAGCUACAAUGUAGCAAAACAGACUCCAGACUCUAUCCAGUGUUCACUUUAAUUGCCUUUUACAUUCAAUAUUUCACAUGGUAAUAUGGCACAUGGUGGGUAUACUG